UACAGAGGUCCCAAGCGUUGUUCGGAUUCACUGGGUUUAAAGGGUGCGUAGGAGGGCAGGUAAGUCAGUGGUGAAAUCUCCAAGCUUAACUUGGAACUGCCGUUGAUACUAUCUGUCUUGAAUACCGUGGAGGUGAGCGGAAUAUGUCAUGUAGCGGUGAAAUGCUUAGAUAUGACAUAGAACACCAAUUGCGAAGGCAGCUCGCUACACGAAUAUUGACUCUGAGGCACGAAAGCGUGGGGAUCAAACAGG
rnacentral:rRNA from 1 species